UAAGAUUUCCAAAAAGUUUUGGACGGAUGCCGUGAGUACCGCAAGCUAUGUUUAAAACAGAGCUAUCAUUAGACCGAUACUCAUGAAAACUCCCUAUGAACUCUAUAAGGGAAGGAAACCAAAUCUUUCUCAUCUUAGAGUCUUCGGUUGUAANNNNNNNNNNNAGCUGUCAUAAGACCGAUACUCAUGAAAACUCCCUAUGAACUCUAUAAGGGAAGGAAACCAAAUCUUUCCCAUAUUAGAGUCUUCGGUUUUAAAUGUUUUGUUCACAACAACGGAAAAGAUAACUUGGGAAAAUUUGACGCAAAAUAUGAUGAAGGAAUUUUUCUUGGUUACUCAUCGCGUAGCAAAGCAUAUAGAGUUUCCAAUAAUCGAACCAAAACUGUUGAGGAAUCUCCUCAUGUAUUAUUUUGUGAAAAUGAUGCUCGCUUGGCGAGAAAGGAUUCUUGUGUUGAUCUUGCAGAUGCUUUAAAGAAAAUCAAUCUUCAAGACGAGGUGCAAAAGGAGGAUCCAAAGGAAGUUCAAGAUGAAGUCAUGGAACAACCUUCGGAAGAAGUACCACCACAAGAAGAAGAAUCGAUGAUGCCUAAGGCUUG
rnacentral:lncRNA from 1 species